ACUUGUUUCCCAACAAAAGUAAGCCCUAAAUGGAAAAUUGCCCCUAAUAAUUUCUCAGUGCUUUAUUAAACAGCUGCAUAGUGAAGAGCAUUUUGGGUAACUUGCGUGACAUUCCAUUUAAAUUCUUCCCCAAAUUAACAAGUGUGUUUACAUGGAGUGUUGAUGAAAACUGAUGUCAUUAUUCGCCAUUUAUCUGAAAUCCAACCCAUGUUUCCGUGCAGGUUGCUUUUUUCUAGCAGGGCUAGGUCAGAUGUGAAGAAUCCCUAGUGUUUUUGUCUCUGCCAGAAUUUGAACCAUGAGAACUCAGGGUUUUCAAUCCGCUCCAUUGACACCUAGGCAACACCCUUGGGUAGCGACGUCAAAGAAAUUAAUCGGUAGAAAUGAAUGGGAGAAGAGGCUCAAUGAUGUAAAUAUUAGAAAAGAAGAUACGAAUAGAUUGGUAAUGAAUUUUCUAGUUACAGAGGGUUAUGUAGAAGCUGCAGAGAAGUUCAGAAUGGAAUCUGGGACGGAUCCUGAUAUAGAUCUUGCUACCAUCUUGGACCGUAUGGCUGUUAAAAAGGCUGUGCAGUCUGGUAAUGUGGAGGAGGCAAUUGAGAAGGUUAAUGAUUUGAAUCCCGAGAUAUUAGAUACAAAUCCCCAACUCUCUUUCCAUCUACAACAGCAAAGGCUGAUAGAAUUGAUAAGGAAUGGAAAGAUUGAAGAAGCUCUGGAGUUUGCUCAAGAAGAACUGGCUCCACGGGGAGAAGAAAAUCAAGCCUUCUUAGAAGAUUUGGAGAAGACUGUUGCAUUACUAGCUUUCGAAGAUGUAUCUAAAUGCCCGGUUGGAGAUCUUCUAGAUGUAUCACAACGCCUAAAGACCGCAAGCGAGAUUAAUGCGGCUAUUCUCACCAGUCAAAGUCAUGAAAAGGAUCCGAAACUUCCAAGCCUAUUGAAGAUGUUGAUAUGGGCACAGAACCAGCUUGAUGAAAAAGCAUUUUACCCUCGCAUUACUAAUCUGUCAACUGCAUCACUUGAAAAUCCUGCUGUCUAAAAUACGAUCCAAGUUCCCUUCACGGUUGCAUCCCUGAAUAUGGCCAAGGCAAGAAGACCUUGUACUCUUGUUCUUUAAACCUUUUGUUUCUGGUUGAUUCAUUUUCAUCGAAAUUUAUGGUUUCGUAGGCAUAUGUAGAUUAACAGCAGGAUACCCGAUGUACACAGACCUAGCUGUCAAAUAUAACUCUGAAGUCACCAAUGAGGUCUAGCUUAAUGGAGAUGUUGAAACUAUUAUGCAAGAGACCAAUGAGGUCGAGGUUAAUGGAGAUGUUGAAACUAUUAUGCAGCUUCUUUUCAUUAUUUACUUGUUAAACAAAUUUGGUUGAUAAAUACAAGGCCCAUUUUUUGGGAAUGAUAUAUUUCAGCGAGGAAAGAGCCUUACUUUCCCAAGUUAGGUCAUUUUACUCCAA